CAAUAGCGUAUAUUUAAGUUGUUGCAGUUAAAAAGCUCGUAGUUGGAUUUCGGGUGGGACGCAGCGGUCUCGCAUUGCGUUUGUACUGCUGCAGCCCUCCUUCUUGCCGGGGGCGGCCUCUCGGACUUCACUGUCUGGGGGUCAGAAUCGGCGAUGUUACUUUGAGUAAAUUAGAGUGUUCAAAGCAAGCUUACGCUCUGAAUAUAAUAGCAUGGGAUAACACGACAGGACUCUGGCCUAUCGUGUUGGUCUAUAGGACCAGAGUAAUGAUUAAGAGGGACAGUCGGGGGCAUUCGUAUUCCGUUGUCAGAGGUGAAAUUCUUGGAUUUACGGAAGACGAACAUCUGCGAAAGCAUUUNNCAAGGAUGUUUUCAUUGA
rnacentral:rRNA from 1 species